GGUAUUGGAUAUCCGCGUCCAAGCAGUUAGGCUGGGAAAUAGGCAAAUCCGUUUCCCGUGAAGGCUGAGCUGUGAUGGCGAGCGAAUUAUAGUAGCGAAGUUCCUGAUUCCACACUGCCAAGAAAAGCCUCUAGCGAGGUGAGAGGUGCCCGUACCGCAAACCGACACAGGUAGGCGAGGAGAGAAUCCUAAGGUGAUCGAGAGAACUCUCGUUAAGGAACUCGGCAAAAUGACCCCGUAACUUCGGGAGAAGGGGUGCUCUGUUAGGGUGCAAGCCCGAGAGAGCCGCAGUGAAUAGGCCCAGGCGACUGUUUAGCAAAAACACAGGUCUCUGCGAAGCCGUAAGGCGAAGUAUAGGGGCUGACGCCUGCCCGGUGCUGGAAGGUUAAGAGGAGCGCUUAGCGUAAGCGAAGGUGCGAAUUGAAGCCCCAGUAAACGGCGGCCGUAACUAUAACGGUCCUAAGGUAGCGAAAUUCCUUGUCGGGUAAGUUCCGACCCGCACGAAAGGCGCAACGAUCUGGGCACUGUCUCAACGAGAGACUCGGUGAAAUUAUAGUACCUGUGAAGAUGCAGGUUACCCGCGACAGGACGGAAAGACCCCGUGGAGCUUUACUGCAGCCUGAUAUUGAAUGUUGGUACAGCUUGUACAGGAUAGGUAGGAGCCUUGGAAACCGGAGCGCCAGCUUCGGUGGAGGCAUCGGUGGGAUACUACCCUGGCUGUAUUGACCUUCUAACCCGCCGCCCUUAUCGGGCGGGGAGACAGUGUCAGG
rnacentral:rRNA from 1 species